AGAGUCAACGCUGGCGGCGUGCCUAACACAUGCAAGUCGAACGAGAAAGUGGAGCAAUCCAUGAGUACAGUGGCGACCGGGUGAGUAACACGUGACUACCUACCCUUGAGUGGGGGAUAACCUCGGGAAACCGAGGCUAAUACCGCAUAAUAUCGAGAGAUCAAAGGAGCAAUUCGCUUUUGGAGGGGUCGCGGCUGAUUAGCUAGUUGGCGGGGUAAUGGCCCACCAAGGCGAAGAUCGGUA
rnacentral:rRNA from 1 species